rnacentral:rRNA from 1 species
UACGUAGGGCGCAAGCGUUGUCCGGAAUUAUUGGGCGUAAAGAGCUCGUAGGCGGCUUGUCGCGUCGGUUGUGAAAGCCCGGGGCUUAACCCCGGGUCUGCAGUGGAUACGGGCAGGCUAGAGGUAGGUAGGGGAGAAUGGAAUUCCCGGUGUAGCGGUGAAAUGCGCAGAUAUCAGGAGGAACACCGAUGGCGAAGGCAGGUCUCUGGGCAUUAACUGACGCUGAGGAGCGAAAGCAUGGGGAGCGAACAGG